CAAUCGGCUCUUUUCGGAGCCAACAAAUGUGUUUUAAAGAGUUAAU
rfam:Aedes aegypti strain Liverpool supercont1.111 genomic scaffold, whole genome shotgun sequence.